UUUUCCGUGAGGAAUGCACUGAAGUAAGUCAAACGGCAAAAGUUGGUACUGAUGAACAAAAACGACAUAUGAGGCAUAGGCGGUAGGAUGAGUAAGCACAUCAUUACGAAGUCCGAACGUGGGAAUCACGCUGUAAUUCGCAACACAGUGCUGUUUAUGUAGAUGUCGCAGGGAUCAAUGGAAAGAAGGUGUC
rfam:Flammeovirga sp. SJP92 Scaffold4_10, whole genome shotgun sequence.